rnacentral:ncRNA from 2 species
ACCGGCCGCCAGGGGUAUCCAGUGGGACAUGGAUUGAGACAAACCCUUGGAACCUGACCCGGUUGAAACCGGCGGAGGGAGCGCGGCGAUCCCCACGA